rnacentral:rRNA from 1 species
AUUGAACGCUGGCGGCAGGCUUAACACAUGCAAGUCGAGCGGUAGCACAGGGGAGCUUGCUGCCUGGGUGACGAGCGGCGGACGGGUGAGUAAUGUCUGGGAAACUGCCUGAUGGAGGGGGAUAACUACUGGAAACGGUAGCUAAUACCGCAUAACGUCGCAAGACCAAAGAGGGGGACCUUCGGGCCUCUUGCCAUCAGAUGGGCCGAGGUGGGAUUAGCUAGUAGGUGGGGUAAUGGCUCACCUAGGCGACGAUCCCUAGCUGGUCUGAGAGGAUGACCAGUCACACUGGAACUGAGACACGGUCCAGACUCCUACGGGAGGCAGCAGUGGGGGAUAUUGCACAAUGGGCGCAAGCCUGAUGCAGCCAUGCCGCGUGUGUGAAGAAGGCCUUCGGGUUGUAAAGCACUUUCAGCUAGGAGGAAGGUGGUGAGCUUAAUACGUUCAUCAAUUGACGUUACUAGCAGAAGAAGCACCGGCUAACUCCGUG